rnacentral:rRNA from 1 species
UACAGAGGGUGCAAGCGUUGUUCGGAAUUAUUGGGCGUAAAGCGCGCGCAGGUGGUGCGGUAAGUCUGCCGUGAAAUCUCCCGGCUCAACUGGGAGGGGGCGGUGGAGACUGCCGGACUGGAGGGACCUAGAGGCCGGUGGAAUUCCCGGUGGAGUGGUGAAAUGCGUAGAGAUCCGGAGGAACACCGACGGCGUAGGCAGCGCCCUAGCCGAGACCUGACGCUCAGGCACGAAAGCGCGGGGAGCGAACAGG